rnacentral:rRNA from 1 species
GAUGAACGCUGGCUACAGGCUUAACACAUGCAAGUCGAGGGGAAACGACGGGGAAGCUUGCUUCCCCGGGCGUCGACCGGCGCACGGGUGAGUAACGCGUAUCCAACCUGCCUCUGACUGAGGGAUAACCCGUCGAAAGUCGGCCUAAUACCUCAUGGCAUCGUCUGCGGGCAUCCAACGACGAUUAAAGAUUUCAUCGGUCAGAGAUGGGGAUGCGUCUGAUUAGCUUGUUGGCGGGGUAACGGCCCACCAAGGCGACGAUCAGUAGGGGUUCUGAGAGGAAGGUCCCCCACAUUGGGACUGAGACACGGUCCAAACUCCUACGGGAGGCAGCAGUGAGGAAUAUUGGUGAAUGGGCGAGAGCCUGAACCAGCCAAGUAGCGUGCAGGAUGACGGCCCUAUGGGUUGUAAACUGCUUUUAUGCGGGGAUAAAGUGAGGGACGUGUCCUUCAUUGCAGGUACCGCAUGAAUAAGGACCGGCUAAUUCCGUG